GAUGAACGCUGACAGAAUGCUUAACACAUGCAAGUCUACUUGAACUUCGGUUUGGGUGGCGGACGGGUGAGUAACGCGUAAAGAACUUGUCUCACAGAUAGGGACAACAUUUGGAAACGAAUGCUAAUACCUGAUAUUAUGAUUUUAGGGCAUCCUAGAAUUAUGAAAGCUAUAUGCACUGUGAGAGAGCUUUGCGUCCCAUUAGCUAGUUGGAGAGGUAACGGCUCACCAAGGCGAUGAUGGGUAGCCGGCCUGAGAGGGUGAUCGGCCACAAGGGGACUGAGACACGGCCCUUACUCCUACGGGAGGCAGCAGUGGGGAAUAUUGGACAAUGGACCAAGAGUCUGAUCCAGCAAUUCUGUGUGCACGAUGAAGUUUUUCGGAAUGUAAAGUGCUUUCAGUUGGGAAGAAAAAAAUGACGGUACCAACAGAAGAAGUGACGGCUAAAUACGUG
rnacentral:rRNA from 1 species